ensembl:lncRNA LINC01962 long intergenic non-protein coding RNA 1962
ACACUUUCCUACAUUUCCUGAAGAUUUUGCAAAUGGGUAUGCACUGUUUAUUAUCUUUUCAUAAAACGGUAAGAGCGGCUUCUGGGGGCUCCUCACCCAGCCGGUCCGGCGUUCCUUCCCUCUCAGCACUGCGCUCUCUCCCGAGCCCUCCGGCUCUACCAACCUCUGUGUCCUGCCCCUGGGCCUCAAGAUUUGCGCCUUUCUUGGACUCGCUUGGGAAGGGGCGCCCAGGCUGCAGAACGGAUGGACGCUCCUGCCUGCUACUCGAGUGGAUCGAGCAGGGAGGCGCUCAUUCGGAUUCCAGGAGACCAGAGGACACAGGACAUAGGGAGCGUUUACCCUGUGUGGAGCUACCUGCGGCUGAGAAUUAGUGGCAGACGCGGAGAUGGGCAGCGGGGACAAGUUGGGCUUGGGAGACUAUAAGACCUUGAGAAUGGGUUCAAGCUGCCAGACGGAAAUCCGCCUUUUCGGUGAAUCGAGCCAUGAAGAACACAAUCAUGAAAAGAUUCAGCGAGCAACUAGACAGCCGGCUCGUUGGUCUAGGGUUUUGAUCCCGAAAGAUGUCCAGCGGAGGCAUCACCAAGAUUUCCGGGAGUGCUGGGGAUUGGAAAGAAUCGUGGAUAGGAGACUAAGCGAGCCGUCCCGGAAGCAACAGUUGCUGUGAAGACUUUGGGCACAGACCUGCACGUGAGAGUAUGCUCUUGAGGGUUGUGGGGGCUCUCCUUUUACAGCUAGGGAUCACUUGUCGAACGUACCCGGAGAGUAGCUGCUAGCAGACAAUAUUAUGGCGACAGAGGUAGGUGUGGGUUUCCGUAGUGUAGUGGUCAUCACGUUCGCCUAACACGCGAAAGGUCCCCGGUUCGAAACCGGGCGGAAACAUGCCACAGUGUUUUUUUUUUUUUUCCCCCCCCUUUCUUUUGAGAUGGGGUUUCGCUCUUGUUGCCCAGGCUGGAGUGCAAUGGAGUGAUCUCGGCUCACAGCAACCUCCGCCUCCCAGGUUCAAGCCAUUCUCCUGCCUCAGGCUCCGGAGUAGCUGGGAUUACAGGCAUGCGCCACCACGCCCGGCUAAUUUUGUAUUUUUAGUAGAGACGGAGUUUCUCCAUGUUGGUCAGGCUGGUCUCGAACUCCGGACCUCAGGUGAUCCGCCCACCUCGGCCUCCCAAAGCGCUGGGAUUACAGGCGUGAGCCACCGCGCGCGGCCCCGAAGCGGUUAUUAUCUCAUUACACGCUCUUAUUACACUGGAGACUAACCUAGAAGAUCCCACUAGUAUGUCCACCUGGUGGUCACAGCGGCACAAAGAGAAGAGGGCAUCUACGCUUUUGCUUUCCAUUCCCAACCACCCGCACCUGUGAACUCAAUCCAGUUUUACUUGCUGUGGACAAGCUCGGCACAGAGCUCAUCCACUGGACAGCGGCACGCUGCCAAAUGGAACCCCGCAUCUCGAGUAUGUGUGGGGCCCAUUACUCCUUUUGUAACCCAUAGGGGACAAAAGUGACAAAACUACCACAAACUGGCAGCGGUGGGAUUCGAACCCACGCCCCCGAAGAGACUGGAGCCUUAAUCCAGCGCCUUAGACCGCUCGGCCACGCUACCUCUUUGCCGCUGGGUAUUUACAUAUUUUCCUUCAGUUAUGAAGCGUGCGAAGGGGCUCUGGGCCAACAGGGAGUUGGGGCGAAUCCACAGGGCAGGACCAUGGCAGGAUCCGCUCCGCCAAAGCCACUGGCUGGGAAACGGCUCCACCAGUGCCCUGACACAGGAUUCUCAAUGCCCAGGCCUCAGGAUCUGCUUUAGGAAGGCCAGUCAUAAAGCCACCCUCUUUGGGGAAUGCACUCCAGAGCA